UACGAAGGGAGCAAGCGUUGUUCGGAAUCACUGGGCGUAAAGCGCGCGUAGGCGGCUUUUCAAGUCAGAGGUGAAAUGCCCAGGCUUAACCUGGGAACUGCCUUUGAAACUGUUAAGCUGGAGUACUGGAAGGGAUGGCGGAAUUCCUAAUGUAGAGGUGAAAUUCGUAGAUAUUAGGAGGAACACCGGUGGCGAAGGCGGCCAUCUGGACAGUAACUGACGCUGAGGCGCGAAAGUGCGGGGAUCAAACAGG
rnacentral:rRNA from 1 species